GACAAACGCUGGCGGCGUGCCUAACACAUGCAAGUCGAACGCCCUGCGCAAGCAGGGAGUGGCGGACGGGUGAGUACCACGUGGGUACCUGCCCCAAGGUGAGGAAUACCAUCGGGAAACCGGUGACAAUACCGCAUAUCCUUCUCACGAAGGAAAGUCGCAAGACGCCUUGGGAUGGGCCUGCGCCCGAUUAGUUGGUUGGUGAGGUAACGGCUCACCAAGACCGCGAUCGGUAGCUGGUCUGAGAGGAUGAUCAGCCACACUGGGAUUGAGAACG
rnacentral:rRNA from 1 species